GGAGAGGUGGCUGAGUGGUCGAAAGCGGCGGUCUUGAAAACCGUUGACCGGCGACGGUCCGGGGGUUCGAAUCCCUCCCUCUCCG
rnacentral:tRNA from 1 species